UCAUCUGAGCCAGCUCCCAGGCCUGACUGUAUAUUUUUAGCCAUCCUGAUCAACUAGUGGGUGGCGGCUGAUGGACCAGGCUGCUGUUCAUCUGGACCUGGGCUUUUUACGCUCACCAUCCCUCCUGAUCCCUCACUGCCUCCUCCAAAAGUGUACACACCAGAACCAUCUCUGAAGACUCCACAGCCUUCCCAACCAGGCUCCAAGAUUGCUGCAGAGACAUCUGUGUGGACACACACAGACGCCACACCAAGCACAUUUGGGAUACAAGUGAUGCCUGAGGCCCAGCCACAGCAGGAGGAGAAAGGCAAACAACAUGGCUUCAGGCUCAGUAGAUGCAGAAGUGCUUCAGGGAUCAAGGUCCAGCUCCAAUAGCUACCCACUGAAGAGCGCUCGCCCAGUGUCUCCACACAGAGGAGGAGCCAGGUGACUCCUGGUGAUUGGCAAGGGGGUGGCAGCGUGGCUGUGUGGCACAGGUGUUUCAGCUGCUGGGAUUGACUUACACAAACAGAGGUUCUAAUCAAUCCCUGAAUGCACCAGAGGCUCUGCUUUAGAAGGGAUGGUGGGUGCCUAAGACAGAGAAUAGCCCCUCCUAACCCCAACCUGUGACCUUCCACUGG
ensembl:antisense Gm26769 predicted gene, 26769